rnacentral:rRNA from 1 species
AAUCAACGCUGGCGGCGUGCCUAACACAUGCAAGUCGAACGAGAAAGAGGAGCAAUCCAUGAGUAAAGUGGCGAUCGGGUGAGUAACACGUGAGUAAGAUUCCUGCGAGUGGAGCAUACCUCCGACAAAGCGGUGCUAAUACGGCAUAACAGCUCAUAAUCAAAACAGCAAUGCGCUUGGAGAGGGGCCCGCGGCUGAUUAGCUAGUUGGUGAGGUAACGGCCCACCAAGGCGAAGAUCGGUAGCCGGCCUGAGAGGGCGCACGGACACACUGGAACUGAAACACGGUCCAGACUCCUACGGGAGGCAGCAGUGGGGAAUUUUGCGCAAUGGGGGAAACCCUGACGCAGCAACGCCGCGUGGAGGAUGAAGUCCUUUGGGGCGUAAACUCCUUUCGACCAAGACGAUAAUGACGGUACUGGUGUAAGAAGCACCGGCUAACUCUGUGCCAGCCGCCGCCGUAAAAC